rnacentral:rRNA from 1 species
CACAAUGGACGAAAGUCUGAUGGAGCAACGCCGCGUGAGUGAAGAAGGUUUUCGGAUCGUAAAGCUCUGUUGUUGGUGAAGAAGGAUAGAGGGUAGUAACUGGCCUUUAUUUGACGGUAAUCAACCAGAAAGUCACGGCUAACUACGUGCC